GCUAGCGGCAGCUUAACACAUGCAAGUCGAACGGUAACUCUUAGUGCUUGCACUAAAAGACGAGUGGCGGACGGGUGCGUAACGCGUAUGCAAUCUACCUUUUACUAGGGAAUAGCCCAGAGAAAUUUGGAUUAAUCCCCUAUAAUAUCAAAAAUUCGCAUGAUUUUUUGAUUAAAGUUUCGACGGUAAAAGAUGAGCAUGCGUCCUAUUAGUUUGUAGGUGAGGUAAUGGCUCACCUAGACUACGAUAGGUAGGGGCCCUGAGAGGGGGAUCCCCCACACUGGUACUGAGACACGGACCAGACUCCUACGGGAGGCAGCAGUGAGGAAUAUUGGACAAUGGACGAAAGUCUGAUCCAGCUAUGCCGCGUGCAGGAUGACAGCCCUACGGGUUGUAAACUGCUUUUAUACAGGAAGAAAAACUCCGACGUGUCGGGGCUUGACGGUACUGUAAGAAUAAGGAUCGGCUAACUCCGUGCCAGCAGCCGCGGUAAUACGGAGGAUCCAAGCGUUAUCCGGAAUUAUUGGGUUUAAAGGGUCCGCAGGCGGUUUUUUAAGUCAGAGGUGAAAUCCUACAGCUCAACUGUAGAAUUGCCUUUGAUACUGAAAGACUUGAGUUAUUGUGAAGUGGUUAGAAUGUGUGGUGUAGCGGUGAAAUGCAUAGAUAUCACACAGAAUACCAAUUGCGAAGGCAGAUCACUAACAAUUAACUGACGCUCAGGGACGAAAGCGUGGGUAGCGAACAGGAUUAGAUACCCUGGUAGUCCACGCCGUAAACGAUGGAUACUAGCUGUAUGUCUACUUCAGGUAGAUGUGUGGCCAAGCGAAAGUGAUAAGUAUCCCACCUGGGGAGUACGAUC
rnacentral:rRNA from 1 species